GGCCCGGUGGUGUAGCGGUUAACAUGCCGCCCUGUCACGGCGGAGAUCGUGGGUUCAAGUCCCAUCCGGGUCGCCA
rnacentral:tRNA from 1 species